rnacentral:pre_miRNA from 1 species
GAGAUGGAGGCUGACAGAAGAGAGUGAGCACACAUGGUGCCUUUCUUGCAUGGUGAAUCAGAGAGAGGGAGAAAGAGCGUUCAUGCUUGAAGCUAUGUGUGCUCACUUCUCUCUCUGUCAGCCAUUACUUACA